rnacentral:rRNA from 1 species
AUUGAACGCUGGCGGCAUGCCUAACACAUGCAAGUCGAACGAGUGGCGGACGGGUGGGUAAUGUCUGGGAAACUGCCCGCUGGAGGGGGAUAACUACUGGAAACGGUAGCUAAUACCGCCUACCAUCGGAUGUGCCCAGAUGGUAUGAGCUAGUAGGUGGGGUAACGGCUGACCUAGGCGACGAUCCCUAGCUGGUCUGAGAGGAUGACCAGACACACUGGAACUGAGACACGGUCCAGACGCCUACGGGAGGCAGCAGUGGGGAAUAUUGCAGAAUGGGCGCAAGCCUGAUGCAGCCAUGCCGCGUGUAUGAAGAAGGCCUUCGGGUGGUAAAGUACUUUCAGCGAGGAGGCGUUACUCGCAGAAGAAGCACCGGCUAACUACGUGCCAGCAGCCGCGGUAAUAC